rnacentral:tRNA from 1 species
GGGUGUAGCUCAUUAGUAGAGCAUGUGCUUAGCAUGCAUGAGGUCCUGGGUUCAAUCCCCAGAACCUCCA